UAGGCUGGCUGGGGCGGAGCUGUCGUCGCUUCAGUCCACUAUAAGGGAAACGUUGAAGCUUCUUCAAAGACUUUGCUCUUCUCGUUCAGUGGUCUUCUCGUUCUUCGCUCGUUGCUCGACGCCAAAAGACCAAGGAAAGCUUCCAAAAUCACGAAGCAUAAGAGAGGAAUCAGUCGCUCUCAAGAAAACGAGAUUCGUCAAUGCGAGACCUGAAGUAAACCAAGCAAUCAUGAGUGCGAUAAAAAAGGUACUCCAGUGGGAUGGAGGCAGAAACAACCGCGUCCGACGACGACCAGUGCCUCUGAAACAGAAUGAAUCUUCAACUUCGAUUUUGGAAGUGUAAGAAAGUGCCGAAGAUUCUAACGGCAUUUCGGCCACUCCAAGACCCUCACCGAGGCUAUGCAGUGCCACUUUCAAUUCUCCAAUAGACGGCGUUUUUUCCAAAGCCGUCAGGCUCCUCGAAUUAUAAUAAAUGCCUGGAAUAAACGUGCAUAUAAGCCAAGUGCCAAACCUGCCUGGCCAAGUGAACGGUGCUGUAAAUAUUUAUAUCGUCAAUUUGCAAACAUGAAAUGGACCAUAUUUUUCAUUUGCCAGUUUUGCUGAUGGUGUAGGAAAGAAUUAUCUGGCCACCUAUAUAUGUAUUUUAUUUUCGUGAGUGUUCAAGUAUUUCUGCUGAAAGAUGAGUAGCUUCUGCGUAAGAUGUGCUGUAAGAGAAUAUUGAA